AUGGUGUACCAGUUGUCCUGCCAAGGGCAUCGCUGGGUAGCUACGUUCGGUAGGGAUAACCGCUGAAAGCAUCUAAGCGGGAAGCCUCUCCCAAGAUAAGAUCUCACUGAUACUUUAAGUAUCCUGAAGGGUCGUCGAAGACUACGACGUUGAUAGGCUGGGUGUGGAAGUGCAGCAAUGCAUGAAGCUAACCAGUACUAAUUGCCCGUGAGGCUUGACCAUAUAACACUCAAACAGUUUGG
rnacentral:rRNA from 1 species